rnacentral:lncRNA from 1 species
AAUCAGACUUGUAUCUCUCAAGAUUUGAUUAAGAAAGAAAGAUCAAAUCAACGUAAAUCAAAGACGCGGCUAACGGUCAUAAUCAAGAAAAGGAAAGAAGAUUUUAUCUACUCAAUAGAGACAUAUCUUCAGCAAAUCAAGUGACAAUGCCUCACAUAUCAAGGAAUUUGGAAAGGAAGGCAAGGCAUGUCAAGGAAAGGAGAAUAUCAUG